CAGAGGCCUGGAGACUAAAGUCCUCUCUAUCUACAGAAUAAGCACAGCAACAGCUGUGGGGGCAGUACAAGCUUCCCCAUGCUGCCCUGCCAACAUGUGUUAAAUCUGGUUUGGAGAGGCCAUCUCUAUGGAUAAGAGGUUAAUUCAGUUAAGCCUCUGUUGAGGCAUCCU
rnacentral:sRNA from 1 species